UUAGGUUGAGGUUGAGACCAUUUUGUGUGAGCCUGAAGAUGCUGCAGGUACUCCGACGCCCAGCGUUUCCAAAAGUGAUCGCGCAUCUGCUGAAGUAACUGCCAGCGUGUUAAACGUGCCGGUUUUUCGUCGGUCAGCGACGGUUCGGGCACGGCUGUAAGCGGAGCUCCUACAAGAAAGUGACCUGGCGUUAAAAAUUCGUUACAAUCGGGGUCAGUUCCUAGGGGCGCCAGGGGGCGAGAAUUUAGACAAGCCUCGAUUUGAGCCAGUACGGUGGACAUUUCUUCAUACGUGAGAGGAGCCUCCCCCACCACUCGCCUAAGGUGAAACUUCAUGGAUUUCACCGCUGCCUCCCAAAUACCGCCAAAGUGAGGGGCGGCAGGAGGGUUGAAUUUCCAUGUUGUUCCGUCCAGAGCUAAAGAGCUAGCCAGUUUUUGAAAAUCAAAUUUCGCGGCGGAAAAGAGCCGACGCAGUUCUCGAUCGGCGCCAAUGAAAUUUGUGCCUUGAUCGCUCGUAAGAAUAGAACACAUUCCUCGGCGAGAUACAAAGCGUCGAUAAGCUGCAAGAAAAGCGUCAGUCGUAUAAUACGAUACCAGUUCUAAGUGAAUCGCUCGAGUGGAAAGACAGACAAAGACAGCGACAUAGGCUUUGCGAGUUUGGUGUCCUCUUCCAGGACUAGUUUUUAUGAAGAAAGGUCCAGCGUAAUCGACGCCGGUAUUUGAGAAUGGCCUAGUCGGUCGUACGCGAGUGGUGGGGAGAUCAGCCAUUUGUUGCUGCGUAGUUUUCGCGAGCCAUCGCCAGCAAGUGAUACACGAGUGAAUGUAAGUGCGUACAGAACGUCGACCAGCCAAAAUCCAGUAUCGUUGACGAAGAGCUGCUAAGGUAAGUUGUACUCCACCAUGAAGUGUUUUUUCGUGAGCUGCGCGUAUCAGUAAAGUUACGAAGUGACCUUUAGUUGGUAGAAUAAUUGGGUGUUUUUCUUGAAAAUCCAGUAACGAGUGUUUUAACCGUCCGCCGACUCGAAGAAGCCCGUUGUCGUCGACGAAGGGGUUAAGUCUGACAAGAGGUCCGCGAGAGAGAGAAGCAGACUGUUCGAGCAGAGCUUUUUCCGUGGAAAACGAGAUUGCUUGGACGCCGUGAAUUAAGAAACGAAGUACCAGAAACGAUCGCGCAGGACGACCUCACUACCCGAGCUUCCUGAUCCAUAACCAGAUUUUUUAGAAGAUAUUCCGCGAGAGGCAACGUCUGCCGGAUUCUCGGCGGAACGAAUGUGUCGCCAAGUUGUUUCGGGCAAAGUAGUUUGAAUUUCGGAGACCCGAUUGGCGACAAAGGUCUUCCACUUAGAAGGGUGCUGUUGCAACCAGCUGAGAACAAUGGAAGAGUCCGACCAAAGAUGAAGCGAGCUUUUA